GUAAUCCGCAAGAGAGAGAACCACAGAAAAAUAUAUGGAGAGAGCGAAAAAGACAACAGAGUGAACUUUUUAUUAAGAUACCCAUUAGUUGACUCCAUGACGUCAGCUAAUCUCCCUUGGGGGUUGGUGCUAUCGCUCGUCACCAGUUACCACAGCCACAAAGUCAAAACCCCACCUAUUUCUACAGUUUAUCUUCUUAAAAUGUGAUUUUAACCCUAACCUUAACCACACUGAUAACCUUAUGCCUAACCCUAACUUUAAAUUAAGACCAAAAAGCACAUUUUUGUCUUUAUAAAUGUUUACAUUUUAGCCAGUUUUGACUUUGUGUGGCUAUGUUAACUACUGACAACCAAGAAACAGGAGGGCAGCGAUGGCACAUAGGUCUCCAUAUGGUCCAUGUGUUCUCCAUCCGCUACCUUGGUCCUGGUCCUUGUUAUAGUCCUGGUCCUGGUCCUUGUUAUAGUCCUGGUCCUGGUCCUUGUUAUAGAUCGGAGCAGCACAGAUCGAAGCUUCAAUACGAAAAUUGAUCAGAGCUUCAAUCAGAGUAUGCAUCAGAUCAUCCGUCUGAAAAUUGAUCAGAGCAACGAUCAGAUCAUCGAUCAGAGCAGGUUUCCCAAAACCGAUCCAAACAUUGCCCAGAACAUUGAGCCCAGCAUGGAUCAGAGCAUGGAUCAGAGCUUCGGUCUGAACACCCAUCCGAUCAUCGAGCAGAGCAUCCAUCAGAUCAUCGAUGAAAUCGACCAUCUCCAGAAGAGCAAGUGUGGCACGUCUGUUGCUGGUGUAGAAAUCCAUCUGAAACUGGUCAAGUCACAGGAUGAGCCUGAGCAAAGCAAGUUGACAGUGUCACUCAAAUGUCAGAUUUAG
rnacentral:lncRNA from 1 species